rnacentral:rRNA from 1 species
AUUGAACGCUGGCGGCAGGCCUAACACAUGCAAGUCUAGCGGAUGAAUGGAGCUUGCUCCUGGAUUCAGCGGCGGACGGGUGAGUAAUGCCUAGGAAUCUGCCUGGUAGUGGGGGAUAACGUCCGGAAACGGGCGCUAAUACCGCAUACGUCCUGAGGGAGAAAGUGGGGGAUCUUCGGACCUCACGCUAUCAGAUGAGCCUAGGUCGGAUUAGCUAGUUGGUGGGGUAAAGGCCUACCAAGGCGACGAUCCGUAACUGGUCUGAGAGGAUGAUCAGUCACACUGGAACUGAGACACGGUCCAGACUCCUACGGGAGGCAGCAGUGGGGAAUAUUGGACAAUGGGCGAAAGCCUGAUCCAGCCAUGCCGCGUGUGUGAAGAAGGUCUUCGGAUUGUAAAGCACUUUAAGUUGGGAGGAAGGGCAGUAAGUUAAUACCUUGCUGUUUUGACGUUACCAACAGAAUAAGCACCGGCUAACUUCGUG